GACGAACGCUGGCGGCGUGCUUAACACAUGCAAGUCGAACGGAAAGGCCCCUUUGGGGGUCCUCGAGUGGCGAACGGGUGAGUAACACGUGAGUAACCUGCCCUUGACUUCGGGAUAACUUCAGGAAACUGGGGCUAAUACCGGAUAGGAAUCCUUGCUGCAUGGUGGGGGUUGGAAAGCUUCGGCGGUUUUGGAUGGACUCGCGGCUUAUCAGCUUGUUGGUGGGGUAGUGGCUUACCAAGGCUUUGACGGGUAGCCGGCCUGAGAGGGCGACCGGCCACAUUGGGACUGAGAUACGGCCCAGACUCCUACGGGAGGCAGCAGUGGGGAAUAUUGCACAAGGGGCGGAAGCCUGAUGCAGCAACGCCGCGUGCGGGAUGACGGCCUUCGGGUUGUAAACCGCGUUCAGCAGGGGCGAAGCUUGUGGUGACGGUACCUGCAGAAGAAGCACCGGCUAACUACGUG
rnacentral:rRNA from 1 species